AUGGCGACCUCGCUGCUCCCACGCUGGGCACCAACGCCGAGCCCGUCACAGCCGCGGUGGGGUCCUUCAGCUGCCGCCCUCACAGGGGAGGUUCAGCCGCCGGAACCACCGACCGCCGAGGUGGAAGGCGCCGUGGGUAGCCCCGGUGGAAUUCAUUCUGAGCUUCACGACAUUGAUCAUCGUGAAGGCCGCCUGGUGGACACCCCUCAUGAUGGCGGCGUGUUCAUAACGUGGGAGGACGUGUGGGUAACGGCGGUGGACGGCAGAGCCACCAUUCUGCACGGCGUCAGCGGCAGCGCGCGCCCCGGCCAUGUGCUGGCCAUCAUGGGACCCUCCGGGUGUGGCAAGACCACACUGCUCGACACCUUGGCCGGGAGACUGGACAAGAACCUGAGAAGUAAAGGAGAUACUCGGAUAAAUGGCCGGAGACAGAGGCUCGCCUUUGGAAUUUCGGCAUACGUGACGCAAGAGAACAUGCUGAUGGACACACUCACAGUGCGUGAGGCCAUCUACUACUCGGCACAGAUCCAGCUGCCCGACACCAUGCUGCUUGCCGAUAAGUUGGCCCGCGCCAAUGAAGCCAUCCAGGAGAUGGGGCUCACCAGCGCCCUAGAGACGCGCAUCGGCGGGCGCAAUACUAAGGGCAUUAGUGGCGGGCAGCGGAAGCGUCUGAGCAUCUGCCUUGAGAUCCUCACGAGGCCGCGACUGCUAUUCCUGGACGAGCCUACCAGCGGGCUAGACAGCGCUGCCUCCUUCCAUGUGAUGAACCGCAUAGCUGACCUCGCUGCCAGGGAGGGCAUGACCAUCAUGGCCGUAGUGCACCAGCCAUGCAACGAGGUGUUCGAGAUCUUUCAUGGCCUCUACUUGCUUGCCUCCGGACGGACAAUUUACUUUGGCCCGGCCACCAAUGCCAAUGAGUUCUUCGCAUCAAAUGGCUACCCUUGCCCACCAAUGAGAAAUCCUUCAGAUCAUUUCCUGAGGACAAUCAACAGAGAUUUUGAAUUGGGUGGAGUGAUGAUCAGAAGAAACCAAGCCAGUUUCCUGACAAAGGUGUUUGUACUCACCAGAAGAUCGUUUGUGAACAUGUAUAGAGACGUCGGAUACUACUGGCUACGUCUUGGCAUCUAUAUUUCCAUUAGUCUAUGCCUUGGUACCAUAUAUUACAAUUUUGGCUAUGGAUACGAUUCUAUCCGUUCUAGAUCAUCAAUGCUAAUGUUCACCAGUGGCCUUCUAACAUUAAUGGCAAUUGGAGGAUUCCCUUCCUUUGUGGAGGAAAUGAAGGCUGGUAUAAUGGAUAAAAACUUAUCAACCUAG
rnacentral:rRNA from 1 species